UACGAGGGGUGCAAGCGUUAUUCGGAAUUAUUGGGCGUAAAGGGUGCGUAGGUGGUAUAUUAAGUCAAUUGUUAAAUUCCCCGGCCUAACCGGGGGUAUGCGGUAGAAACUGAUAUGCUAGAGGGUGGAAGAGAGAAGUGGAAUUCUCGGUGUAGCGGUAAAAUGCGUAGAUCUCGAGAGGAACACCAAUGGCGAAGGCAGCUUCUUGGUCCACACCUCGACACUGAGGCACGAAAGCGUGGGGAGCAAACAGG
rnacentral:rRNA from 1 species